GGCGACCGCUAUUGGAGUUCGAUUAAGACAUGCGAGUCAGAGCACUAGCUCGGCAUACCGCUCAGUAACACGCGGGUAACCUGCCCUAUUGUUUCGAAUAACCUCGGGAAACUGAGAACAACACGAUAUAGUCCACUACGCCUGGAACGGUGAGUGGAUAAAGAUAGGAUGGGCCUGCGGCGUAUCAGGUCGUAGGGGGUGUAAAGGACCUCCUAGCCAUCGACGCGUACGGGUGUUGGGAGACAUAGCCCGGAGAUGGAUUCUGAGACACGAAUCCAGGCCCUACGGGGCGCAGCAGUUACGAAAACUUGGCAAUGCGGGAAACCGUGACCAGGGAACUCCAAGUGGCUGUCCUUUUGGGCAGUCUUUUCUUGACUCUAAAACGGUCUUGGAAUAAGGGGUGGGUAAGGACGGUGCCAGCCGCCGCGGUAAUACCGGCGCCUCAAGUGGUCGUCGCUUUUAUUGGGCCUAAAACGUCCGUAGCCGGUUUGGUACAUUCGUGGGUAAAUCAGCUCGCUCAACGAGCUGAAUUCUGCGAGCACGGCCAGACUAGGGACCGGGAGAGGUGUGGGGAACUCUCAGGGUAGGGGUAAAAUCCUGUCAUCCUGAGAGGACCACCUGUUGCGAAGGUGCCACACUAGAACGGAUCCGACGGUCAGGGACGAAGCCUAGGGGCACGAACCGGAUUAGAUACCCGGGUAGUCCUAGGUGUAAACGCUGUGGACUUGGUGUUGGGGGCGCUCCGAGCGCUCUCAGUGCCGUAGCGAAGGUGUUGAGUCCACUGCCUGGGGAGUACGGUCGCAAGGCUGAAACUUAAAGGAAUUGGCGGGGGAGCACUGCAACCGGAGGAUUGUGCGGUUU
rnacentral:rRNA from 1 species